UUGACGGGACCCGCACAAGCGGUGGAUGAUGUGGUUUAAUUCGAUGCAACGCGAAAAACCUUACCCACCUUUGACAUGUACGGAACCCUUUAGAGAUAGAGGGGUGCUCGAAAGAGAGCCGUAACACAGGUGCUGCAUGGCUGUCGUCAGCUCGUGUCGUGAGAUGUUGGGUUAAGUCCCGCAACGAGCGCAACCCUUGUCAUUAGUUGCUACAUUCAGUUGGGCACUCUAAUGAGACUGCCGGUGACAAGCCGGAGGAAGGUGGGGAUGACGUCAAGUCCUCAUGGCCCUUAUAGGUGGGGCUACACACGUCAUACAAUGGCUGGUACAAAGGGUUGCCAACCCGCGAGGGGGAGCCAAUCCCAUAAAGCCAGUCGUAGUCCGGAUCGUAGUCUGCAACUCGACUACGUGAAGUCGGAAUCGCUAGUAAUCGUGGAUCAGAAUGUCACGGUGAAUACGUUCCCGGGUCUU
rnacentral:rRNA from 1 species